rnacentral:rRNA from 1 species
CGCCGCCGCGGUAAUACGGAGGGUGCAAGCGUUAAUCGGAAUUACUGGGCGUAAAGCGCACGCAGGCGGUCUGUCAAGUCAGAUGUGAAAUCCCCGGGCUUAACCUGGGAACUGCAUUUGAAACUGGCAGGCUAGAGUCUUGUAGAGGGGGGUAGAAUUCCAGGUGUAGCGGUGAAAUGCGUAGAGAUCUGGAGGAAUACCGGUGGCGAAGGCGGCCCCCUGGACAAAGACUGACGCUCAGGUGCGAAAGCGUGGGGAGCAAACAGGAUUAGAUACCCGGGUAGUCCCUGUCUCUUAUACA